rnacentral:tRNA from 1 species
GCCCCUGUAGCUUAAUUGGAUAAAGUACUAGGUUUCGGCCCUAGGAAUGUGGGUUCAAAUCCUGCCAGGGGCU